rnacentral:tRNA from 1 species
UGCCCAGUAGCUCAGUGGCAGAGCAGUUGACUGUUAAUCAAUUGGUCGUAGGUUCAAUCCCUACCUGGGCAGCCA